AUCGAACGCUGGCGGCAUGCUUUACACAUGCAAGUCGAACGGUAACAGGCCUUCGGGUGCUGACGCGUGGCGAACGGGCGAGUAAUGCAUCGGAACGUACCCAGCGGUUGGGUAUAACGCAGCUAAAGCUGUGUUAAUACCGCACGUGAUCUGAGCAUGAAAGCGGUGGACCGAGCAGCAAUGUUUCGCCUCGCGCCUUUGGAGCGGCCGAUGUCGGACUAGCUAGUUGGUGGGGUAAAGGCCUACCAAGGCGACGAUCCGUAGCCGGUCGGAGUGGACGGCAGGCGGCAUUAGGAGUGGACCGCGGCCAAGACGCCUGCGGGAGGCAGCAGAGGGGAACGUUGGGCAAUAGUGGGAAGCCUGGUCCAGCAAGGCGGAGUGCGAGAAGGAGGCCUUCCGUUUGUAAACCGCUUUUGCCAGGAACGAAACGGUGUCCGCUAAUACCGGGCGCUAGUGACGGUACCUGCAGAAUAAGCACCGGCUAACUACGUG
rnacentral:rRNA from 1 species